AAGAAGUGUGACAUGCCCGUUUGGGAUAUACUAUGAUGUAUUAUUUAAUAUUUUAAUUACUUUGGGAUAACGGGGUGUUACAGUUAU
rnacentral:pre_miRNA from 1 species